rnacentral:lncRNA from 1 species
UUAUUUGAAGUGGAGAGAGGCUUAUUAGUGGUAACUUUUUUGAUAGAAAUUGUGACCUAGCUGCAAGAUCAUCACACUUGUCUUUGGGACAUCAUAACCCUUUUCUCAUUCCCAACAUAAUUCUUCAAUUAAAUUUUACAUCGACAAAGUAUGACUCAACAUCAGUGAAUAGCUUAUCAUCGACAAUUAUUUUUCUUUCCAU